rnacentral:rRNA from 1 species
UACGUAGGGUGCAAGCGUUAAUCGGAAUUACUGGGCGUAAAGCGUGCGCAGGCGGCUAUGCAAGACAGAUGUGAAAUCCCCGGGCUUAACCUGGGAACUGCAUUCGAUACUGGGCGGCUAGAGUAUGAGAGAGGGAGGUAGAAUUCCACGUGUAGCGGUGAAAUGCGUAGAUAUGUGGAGGAAUACCGGUGGCGAAGGCGGCCUCCUGGCUUAAUACUGACGCUGAGGUGCGAAAGCGUGGGGAGCAAACAGG